rnacentral:lncRNA from 1 species
GGUGGUCGGGGGACUUUUCGGUCAACAAGAGGCCCAAGAGGUGUCGGAGGUCAGGGGUUGGGGUUCAGUGGCGUCGGGGGCGGCGUAUUAAGAGAUGCGCAGACUUUUCUGCGAGGGUGUCGUCCGGAUGUCGUGUCGGGGUUUCGGGCAUCGUGUCGGGGUGUCAGGGUGUCACUUUCUUCUUCUUCAUCUUCUUUUUCUUCCUCCUCUUCCUUUUCUUCUUCUUCUUCUUCCUUCCUUCCUUUUCUUCUUCUUCUUCUUGUUCUUCUUCUUCUUCUUCUUCUUCUUCUUCCUUCUUUUCCAUUUCCCUCUUCUUCUUCUUCUUCUUCUUCCUUCUUUUCCUU